rnacentral:misc_RNA from 1 species
AAAAAAAAAAAAAAAAUGAAGAGAGAACUAGAACAAGGGUUCGCAUGCUAAUGUUUAACAGUUCGAAACAACAUAAAUAAUAGCCAUUAUCCCAACCGUUCAGGAACUACAAAAACAAAUUUUCCUUUCACAAUUUACUUAUAGAAAAGAUGUCCCAAUGCAUGAGACACCUAGGCUAACAUUGUGAACUGUAAGCCCUUCUCUUGGCUAUUCGCAUAUGGUUGAACCUGUGAUCAUCACCAAGUCACUGUGGAUUAAAAAAAAGAGAGACCGUAUUCUACUUCUAAAUCAAUGUUAUGGUCAUUUUACUUUCACAUUUAAACUGGAUAAUUUUAGUUUCUUAUAGCCAUUCAUUUGCCUUCCAUGUUGAUAAUUUACAACUGUUCCAAAACUACUUGAUAACAGGGUAUGUGCUAAGUUUCGGUUAACGAGUACAGGGGUCUUGGUGUCGAAGCAGUAGAUUUGAGCAUGGGCAUCAAGGAACUUAUGACAAAGUUCAUCAAGUGAAGGAGAUUCGCAUAAGUUAUUUUAUAGUAAGAUGUGACGUCUUAUCCUAAUAAAAUUUGGAUUAUGAUAUUAUAAUGAAAAUAGAGAUUUAUUGGGAAUAACAUUAUAUCCAAUAAUCAAAGUCUAACCAGGAUCAGAAUUUUUCAAGCACAAAUGUGCCAAGCAAAUAUAUCAAUUUGAUUUCGGUGAUUACUUUCUCAGAGAAAGCCUCUGAUCACAGAUAGCAAUUGUACUCAAACCUUUGAUUUCGGUGAUUACUUUCAAACCUGGAAGAAACACAAGAAAGUGAUCAGGAAAAUAAGUGACACAAGAAGAGCGAUAUUCAUAUCCCUGCUUUCAUCACAGAGAUACUGAAUAUAUAGAAUAAUUGUCUUGUAGAUUCUUCACGGAUUAAAACUUUUCAAACAGGACAAUAUAUAUCUUACCGUUCUAUUGCUACACUAACUUUACCUCUCCAUUUGUCAGGCAGUUCCUCCCCCUUCUUGUUUUGAAAGAACUUGGCGAACGAGGUUUUUUAAGUUGUAUUUCUUGUCUUAAUUGACAUAUUAUGACAGCUGGUUAUAUAUCUCAAUUACUUUAUCAGGAAAUGUAAAGAUGUGUACCGGAUACAUUUAGCAACCAAGAUCCAACUCACUACAUGUAAAGCUCGAACGAAUCUGCUCCAUAUGAUCCUAAAUUAUUAGUAAAAGCUGUGUACGGCAAGUUAAAAGAAUGUCAAGGCUCAAUCACCAAAGCAUCAUGGAGACCUUG